GUAAAACAUCACAAUAGAGUGGCUCCAAGGUAAUUUGCCAGCAGUACCCAAGGCCAAGUCAAGUAAAUACCGACCUAGUGUCAGAUGUCUUGCCAAUCUACCUAUAUCCACAUCUAGUUGAUGUUGGGAGGACAUCAAUCUUAAGUUGAUUUUUUGUAUGCACCAGCAAAGCCCUCCGAGAUAACUAUUCCCCACAUGAGCCAACUUAUGAUCUCUCCACAGCUGGCUAAUC
rnacentral:lncRNA from 1 species